UACGGAGGGUGCAAGCGUUAUCCGGAUUCACUGGGUUUAAGGGGUGCGUAGGCGGGUAAGUAAGUCCGUGGUGAAAUCUCUGAGCUUAACUCAGAAACUGCCGUGGAUACUAUUUGCCUUGAAUAUUGUGGAGGUGAGCGGAAUAUGUCAUGUAGCGGUGAAAUGCUUAGAUAUGACAUAGAACACCAAUUGCGAAGGCAGCUCACUACACAAUCAUUGACGCUGAGGCACGAAAGCGUGGGGAUCAAACAGG
rnacentral:rRNA from 1 species